rnacentral:lncRNA from 1 species
AAAAUCUUCCUUCUUAUUUAUUCACUUAUAUAUGUUCCCAAACAUAUUAUGAUAGAUCAAAUAAUAAUUCAAAGUCCAAAAUUUAGUUAUGGACAAAAAUACAAGCAAUUCACCAGUACUGAAGUUGCUACAAAAACUGGAAUCUUCCCCAGCCUAGAAAUCCAACAAAGCUUCGCCUCCUUUUCUCUAUCAAAUUUUUGCAGCUGCUGCUUCUCUCCAAUGGAGCUGAAUUUUGGACACCCUCUAGUUCUUGAGCAGAUGAACAACUUUCAAGAAGGAACCAUUUCUGUUUGAGCCACGGAAAUUAAAGUGUUGAAGCUCCAAGCAUGACAGUCGGAUUCUUGCAGAUUUCGAAGCUGCUGUGAUGUUUCGAAGAUCUGGAAAUAUUUAACCAUUAGUUCAUUCUGAAUUUUUGAUAUGUUAUGAAAGAGACGAUGAGGAACAACUUCAAUGAAGAAAGCAUGCUGAUCUGAGCAAGAGAAAAUGGAGUUUCAAAGCUCACAACAAAUCUGACGGGUUGACAGAAAAAUAAUAACCAGUCAUUCAUCAUACCUGAAUUUCUUGAGUUAUACAGCUCCGAGGGAUCUCAAAUUUGGAUAUGUUGUAGUUCACAAGCUGAGGAAAAACUUCAAUGAAGAAAGCAUGCUUAUUUGAGCAAGAGAAAAUAGAGUUUCAAAGCUCACAACAAAUCUGACGGGUUGACAGACAAAUGAUAAACAGUCACUCAUCAUAC